rnacentral:rRNA from 1 species
UGGCGGCGUGCCUAAUACAUGCAAGUCGAGCGGACAGAAGGGAGCUUGCUCCCGGAUGUUAGCGGCGGACGGGUGAGUAACACGUGGGUAACCUGCCUGUAAGACUGGGAUAACUCCGGGAAACCGGAGCUAAUACCGGAUAGUUCCUUGAACCGCAUGGUUCAAGGAUGAAAGACGGUUUCGGCUGUCACUUACAGAUGGACCCGCGGCGCAUUAGCUAGUUGGUGAGGUAACGGCUCACCAAGGCGACGAUGCGUAGCCGACCUGAGAGGGUGAUCGGCCACACUGGGACUGAGACACGGCCCAGACUCCUACGGGAGGCAGCAGUAGGGAAUCUUCCGCAAUGGACGAAAGUCUGACGGAGCAACGCCGCGUGAGUGAUGAAGGUUUUCGGAUCGUAAAGCUCUGUUGUUAGGGAAGAACAAGUGCAAGAGUAACUGCUUGCACCUUGACGGUACCUAACCAGAAAGCCACGGCUAACUACGUGCCA